CCUACGGGAUGCAGCAGUGAGGAAUAUUGGUCAAUGGGCGCUAGCCUGAACCAGCCAAGUAGCGUGAAGGAUGACUGCCCUAUGGGUUGUAAACUUCUUUUAUAUGGGAAUAAAGUGCAGUAUGUAUACUGCUUUGCAUGUACCUUAUGAAUAAGGAUCGGCUAACUCCGUGCCAGCAGCCGCGGUAAUACGGAGGAUCCGAGCGUUAUCCGGAUUUAUUGGGUUUAAAGGGAGCGUAGGCGGGUUGUUAAGUCAGUUGUGAAAGUUUGCGGCUCAACCGGAAAAUUGCAGUUGAUACUGGCAGCCUUGAGUACAGUAGAGGUGAGCGGAAUUCGAGGUGUAGCGGUGAAAUGCGUAGAUAUAACGAAGAACUCCGAUUGCGAAGGCAGCCUGCUGGACUGUAACUGACGCUGAUGCUCGAAAGUGUGGGUAUCAAACAGGAUUAGAUACCCCAGUAGUC
rnacentral:rRNA from 1 species